CUAUUUGUGCUGUAAGCUGCUUACCCCAUUGAAAAUUGUUCUUUAUAGAGAAAAACCCUAGGAAGGUCCUGUGGCACAGAGCAUCAAGAAUCCAGUGUUGCUGCAGCUGUGGCUCAGGUCGCAAGGGCAGCACAGGUUCAACCUCUAGCCCAAGAAGUUCCACAUGCCCACCCCCCAAAAAACAAACAAGCAAAAAAAGAGUUCCCGUUGUGGCUCAGAGGUAUUCAUGAGGAUGCAGGUUUGAUCCCUGGCCUCGCUCAGUGGGUUAAGGAUCAGGCAUUGCCAUGGACUGUGGUGUAGGCUGCAGAUGCAGCUCAGAUCUGCCGUUGCUGUGGCUGUGGUGUCGGCCAGCAGCUGUAGCUCCAAUUAAACCCCUAGCCUGGGAACUUCCCUAAGAUGAGGGUGUGGCUCUAAAAAAAAAACCCUGAGCAUGGGAUCUCUAUUUCAUCCCGCCUCCUCUGCCCGCCCUGCCAGCCAGCCCUAGACUCUGGCUGACUGUAUAUUUAAAAACUCUACAGGAAAGUUCCUGCUGUGGCUCAGCAGGUGAAGGACCCAACUUUGUCUCUGGGGAUGUAGGUUCAAUCCCUGGCCUUGCUCAGUGGGUUAAGAAUCUGACUGCGGCAGCUAGGGUCUCUGCAGAGGUGUGGGUUCAAUCCCUGGCACAGUGCAGUAGAUUAAAGGAUCCGGUGUUGUUACAGCUGUGACUCGGAUUCAAAACCUGGCCAGGAACUUCCAUGUGGCUCCGGGGCAGCCAUAAAAUUAAAAAAAAAAAAUUUAAGCUUUCUGAAGAUUCAGGGUAAACCUUACACUCCCUGGAAUAAAGCUGAGCUGUAAGCUAUAGUCAAAGAUUUCCCCCAAGUAACUGAAGAUAAAGAUUUGCGAGGAAUUUAGUGACUGAAACUCAUCAACGCGGCUUCUCUGACUUACGGCAGUUAGUUCAUACGCUCGUCAGUGAAGGCCGGGCCUGGCAUUGGGUGAAAAGCACUAAUGAGAAAAGUCAGAAAUGUCUGGAGAAUUACCACUGAGUGAAUUACAACUUUGCUCAGGCAACUUUUGGGCGAUUUCCCUGAGCAAGUCCUAGCACUUUUCUAAAGUCUAUUGAUUAGAAAAAAAUUUAGACUUGUACACAAAAAAAUUUAGACUUGUACACUGGUAAGCCUCUUCAUGACUGUUACAACUGACUUCAGAUUGUUUUUAAAGAAAAUUCUGGAAUUCCCCUGUGGCCUAGCAAUUAAGGAUCUGGUGUUGUCAUUUCUGUGGCUUGGGUUCAAUCCCUGGCCAAGGAACUUCUACAUCCUACGGAUGCAGCCACAGGGAAAAAAUGGUAGAACUUGUGAAAAGUGUUCUUAGCACAACAAAAACUAAAUAUUUAGGGAGUUCCCGUCAUGGCUCAGUGGUUAACAAACCCAACUGGCAUCCACGGGGACACAGGUUUGAUCCUUGGCCUUGCUCAGUGGGUUGAGGAUCCAGCAUUGCUGUGAGCUGUGGUGUAGGUUGCAGACAUGGUUCACAUCCCAAGUUGCUGUGACUGUGGUGUAGGCCGGCAGCUGUAAAUCCUAUUUGACCCCUAGCCUAGGAACCUCCAGAUGCCUUAGAUGUGGCCCUAAAAGGCAAAAAAUAAUAAAUAAAUAACUACUUAAUUUUUUUUUUUUUGUCUUUUUGCCAUUUCCAGGGCCACUCCCACGGCACAUGGAGUUCCCGUUGUGGCGCAGUGGUUAACGAAUCUGACUAGGAACCAUGAGGUUUCAGGUUCAAUCCUCGCCCUUGCUCAGUGGGUUAAGGAUCCGGCAUUGCCAUGAGCCGUGUAGAUGCAGCUUGUAUCCAAAGUUACUGUGGCUGUGGUGUAGGCCAGCAGCAACAGCUCUGAUUAGACCCCUAGCCUGGGAAUCUCCAUAUGCCGUGGAAGCGGCCCUAGAAAAGGCAAAAGCAAAAAAAAAAAAAAAAAAAA
rnacentral:lncRNA from 1 species